GAUGAACGCUGGCGGCGUGCUUAACACAUGCAAGUCGAACGAUGAAGCUCCAGCUUGCUGGAGUGGAUUAGUGGCGAACGGGUGAGUAACACGUGAGUAACCUGCCCUUGACUCUGGAUUAGCCUUGGAAACGAGGGCUAAUUACCGAUAGGAACACUCAUCGCAUGGUGGGUGGUGGGAAGGAUUUCGGUUAUGGAUGGACUCGCGGCCUAACAGCUUGUUUGUGAGGUAAUGGCUCACCAAGGCGACGACGGGUAGCCGGCCUGAGAGGGGGACCGGCCACACUGGGACUGAGACACUGCCCAGACUCCUACGGGAGGCAGCAGUGGGGAAUAUUGCACAAUGGGCGCAAGCCUGAUGCAGCGACGCCGCGUGAGGGAUGACGGCCUUCGGGUUGUAAACCUCUUUCAGUAGGGAAGAAGCGAAAGUGACGGUACCUGCAGAAGAAGCACCGGCUAACUACGUGCCAGCAGCCGCCGUAA
rnacentral:rRNA from 1 species